AUUGAACGCUGGCGGCAGGCCUAACACAUGCAAGUCGAGCGAGCGGCGGACGGGUGAGUAAUGUCUGGGAAACUGCCUGAUGGAGGGGGGUAACUACUGGAAACGGUAGCUAAUACCGCAUACCAUCAGAUGUGCCCAGAUGGGAUUAGCUAGUGGGUGGGGUAAAGGCGCACCUAGGCGACGAUCCCUAGCUGGUCUGAGAGGAUGACCAGCCACCAUGGAACUUAGACACGGCCACGACUCCAACGGGAGGCAUCAGUGGGGAAUAUUGCACAAUGGGCGCAAGCCUGAUGCAGCCAUGCCGCGUGUGUGAAGAAGGCCUUCGGGUUGUAAAGCACUUUCAGCGGGGAGGCGUUAACCGCAGAAGAAGCACCGGCUAACUCCGUGCCAGCAGCCGCGGUAAUAC
rnacentral:rRNA from 1 species